rfam:Kibdelosporangium aridum strain DSM 43828 genome assembly, contig: LX79DRAFT_scaffold00001.1
CUUCACCGAACCCAGCCACAACGGACGAUCCCGAUCCUGCCCGUAGGUCGCCAGCAACGCCUGGGCCUC